AUUUUUUCAUCGAAAUAUUAAUAAAUUUUAUGAAACCCAAAGGCAAAAUGAAAGUAAAAUAAUUUUUUUUUUUUUAAUUAAUUUAUUUAAAUGAAAAUUUGAGGGAGGAUAUAUUUUUAUUAUGUAUUGAAUAUCGCACUCCCAGGGCAUCUUAUACUAUUCUUAUAAUUAUUUUAUAUUUUUUAUUAUGAAUAAAGGUGCACCUAUAGCGUACACGCUGGGACCCGAAAGAUGGUGAACUAUGCCUGGUCAGGACGAAGUCAGGGGAAACCCUGAUGGAGGUCCGUAGCGAUUCUGACGUGCAAAUCGAUCGUCGGAACGGGUAUAGGG
rnacentral:rRNA from 1 species